CAGGCUUAACACAUGCAAGUCGAGGGGCAGCAUGGUCUUAGCUUGCUAAGGCCGAUGGCGACCGGCGCACGGGUGAGUAACACGUAUCCAACCUGCCGUCUACUCUUGGACAGCCUCCUGAAAGGAAGAUUAAUACAAGAUGGCAUCAUGAGUCCGCAUGUUCACAUGAUUAAAGGUAUUCCGGUAGACGAUGGGGAUGCGUUCCAUUAGAUAGUAGGCGGGGUAACGGCCCACCUAGUCUUCGAUGGAUAGGGGUUCUGAGAGGAAGGUCCCCCACAUUGGAACUGAGACACGGUCCAAACUCCUGCGGGAGGCAGCAGUGAGGAAUAUUGGUCAAUGGGCGAGAGCCUGAACCAGCCAAGUAGCGUGAAGGAUGACUGCCCUAUGGGUUGUAAACUUCUUUUAUAAAGGAAUAAAGUCGGGUAUGGAUACCCGUUUGCAUGUACUUUAUGAAUAAGGAUCGGCUAACUCCGUGCCAGCAGCCGCGGUAAUACGGAGGAUCCGAGCGUUAUCCGGAUUUAUUGGGUUUAAAGGGAGCGUAGAUGGAUGUUUAAGUCAGUUGUGAAAGUUUGCGGCUCAACCGUAAAAUUGCAGUUGAUACUGGAUAUCUUGAGUGCAGUUGAGGCAGGCGGAAUUCGUGGUGUAGCGGUGAAAUGCUUAGAUAUCACGAAGAACUCCGAUUGCGAAGGCAGCCUGCUAAGCUGCAACUGACAUUGAGGCUCGAAAGUGUGGGUAUCAAACAGGAUUAGAUACCCUGGUAGUCCACACGGUAAACGAUGAAUACUCGCUGUUUGCGAUAUACAGCAAGCGGCCAAGCGAAAGCGUUAAGUAUUCCACCUGGGGAGUACGCCGGCAACGGUGAAACUCAAAGGAAUUGACGGGGGCCCGCACAAGCGGAGGAACAUGUGGUUUAAUUCGAUGAUACGCGAGGAACCUUACCCGGGCUUAAAUUGCAGAUGAAUUACGGUGAAAGCCGUAAGCCGCAAGGCAUCUGUGAAGGUGCUGCAUGGUUGUCGUCAGCUCGUGCCGUGAGGUGUCGGCUUAAGUGCCAUAACGAGCGCAACCCUUGUUGUCAGUUACUAACAGGUUCCGCUGAGGACUCUGACAAGACUGCCAUCGUAAGAUGUGAGGAAGGUGGGGAUGACGUCAAAUCAGCACGGCCCUUACGUCCGGGGCUACACACGUGUUACAAUGGGGGGUACAGAGGGCCGCUACCACGCGAGUGGAUGCCAAUCCCCAAAACCUCUCUCAGUUCGGACUGGAGUCUGCAACCCGACUCCACGAAGCUGGAUUCGCUAGUAAUCGCGCAUCAGCCACGGCGCGGUGAAUACGUUCCCGGGCCUUGUACACACCGCCCGUCAAGCCAUGGGAGCCGGGGGUACCUGAAGUGCGUAACCGCGAGGAGCGCCCUAGGGUAAAACUGGUGACUGGGGCU
rnacentral:rRNA from 1 species